CAGGGAGCUCUUUAGUCCAAAUCUUUUACCACACUCAGAACAGCCAAAUAGUUUGUGUCCUGAAUGAAUUAUCAUGUGUGUUUUCAGAUUGCUCUUUAGUCCAAAUCUUUUUCCACACUCGGAACAGCCAAAUAGUUUGUGUCCUGAAUGAAUUAUCAUGUGUGUUUUCAGAUUGCUCUUUAGUCCAAAUCUUUUACCACACUCAGAACAGCCAAAUGGUUUUUGUCCUGUAUGAAUUAUCAUGUGUUUUGUCAGAUAGCUCUUUUGUCCAAAUCUUUUACCACACUCAGAACAGCCAAAUGGUUUGUGUCCUGUAUGAACUAUCAUGUGUUUUUUCAGGUCAUUCUUUUGUCCAAAUCUUCGAGCACAUUCAGGACAGCCAAAUCGUUUUUGUCCUGUAUGAAUAAUCAUGUGUUUUUUCAGGUUGCUCUUUUGUCCAAAUCUUUGACCACAUUCAGAACAGCCAAACUGUUUUAGUCCUGAAUGAAUUAGCAUGUGUUUUGUCAGGUUGCCCUUUUGUCCAAAUCUUCGACUACAUUCAGAACA